AGGAUGAACGCUGGCGGCGUGCUUAACACAUGCAAGUCGAACGAUGAAGGCUGGAGCUUGCUCUGGCUGGAUUAGUGGCGAACGGGUGAGUAACACGUGAGUAACCUGCCCCAGACUCUGGGAUAAGCGCUGGAAACGCGUCUAAUACCGGAUACGAGCGUUCCACCGGCAGUGGUGAGGAGCUAGGAAAGAAUUUCGGGUCUGGGAUGGACUCGCGGCUAUCAGCUUGUUGGUGAGGUAAUGGCUCACCAAGGCGACGACGGGUAGCCGGCCUGAGAGGGUGACCGGCACACGUGGGACUGAGACUACGGCCCAGACUCCUACGGGAGGCAGCAGUGGGAUAGUUGCACAAUGGGCGC
rnacentral:rRNA from 1 species